GCUGGGUGUGGUUGUGUGUGCCUGUAAUCCCAGCUACUCAGGAGGCUGAGGCAGGAGAAUCACUUGAACCCGGGAGGUGCAAGCUGCAGUGAGCUGAGAUUGUGCCACUGCACUCCAGCCUGGGUGACAGAGUGAGAUCCUGUCUCAA
rnacentral:SRP_RNA from 1 species